ACAAGCUGCACAGCAGCUCUGCAAACCUGGCAACAAGUUGCUUUUAGGGGCCUUUUCUCACUUUUGGCGCAUUCAUUUUUGCAUCCCUUUGGAUUUUGCCGCUCUUUCUUCUGUUUUUCUUUAUUUUGUUUUUUUUUUAAAUGUGAUGUUUCCUAUUUUUUCUCCGCUUAUUGGUUUUAUGCGUAUUUAUUUUGUUUCGCUCUAAUUUUUUUGGAUGGGAAAUUUGUCAAAGUGGGGUUUCGCCAUGUGAUGGCUCUUGUUCCACCUGGAGCAGUGGGGCGCCAUGUCUGCUGGGAAACCUGCUAGUGGUGGGCUCGUGGUCCGGAUGACCACUGUGGAUGACAGGCAGAAAAAGUGUCCAGUGUGGGAGCAAUUUACACAUCUGUGUUUUUAAGACAUGUCCUUCAUCAACGCCAGAGACUGGCGUGAAGUACAGCACCUCCUUCGUCUUUACUCCCUGUCUCUCCUUGUAUUUCCUCCCCAUGUCCUCUCUCUCUCGGUCUCUCGCUCUCUCUUGUUCGCUCUAUUUUACACCGACUGGCUCUCCUACCAGGGGACUGAGUGCUGUGCUGAUCUGGACCUCUUUCUGGGACAGGUGCCAACUGCAAACAAAAGACAUUAAAAGGCAACAAGAGGACAAAAAUUAGAAUUAGCAAUAUUUUGAACAGUUUCGCUGAAGCGUCCGCAGAAUCUCUGCAUGUUGUGUCUCUACAUCACUACUUUGUGCAAUUUUUUGGUAUUAGUGUGAAGUAGAAACCCUGAUAUUUAGGAGGUAGGCCGCUGGUAAGGCAGAGAUUCGAACACUUUGCCACAGUUACUCUAGUGAAGGCAUUUCAUCCUGUAAGAGUGAGGGAGUAAUGUGUGAGAGCACCAUAUAGACUGCUGAAUUAUUUAUGUGCCCAGUCGAGGCUGUGACUGGACUGGCUGUGCUAUUUGCAUGUAACAGACAUGCUAUUUGUCUGUUUGCUAACAUUCCUCAUUCAGAGACUUGUUAACUCGCAGACCGGCCGACCGAGCUAGAGCUCUGCAGACAGCCUCAUGGCCUCCUAUUGUUUCAGGCCUCAGCAGACAUGGACGCAGUCGGUGGCAGGCGAGCUGUGCAGCCCGGGGUCUGAGCUCUGGGCUCAGACUGGCUGGACUUGAAGAGAGAGAGAGAGAGAGAGAGAGAGAGAGAGAGAGUGUGGAGCUGAGAUUGAGGCUGGAGCUGGAGCUGGGACUGAGGUACAGCUGUGAAGGAGGCAGUCUGAGGGGGAAACGCCGGGUCUUACAAGAAACAUCAAAUCGGAGCUUUGGCCUUUUCGUAACAGAGAUGUGGAUCACAGCAGGAAGACAUGGCGAGUUUCGCAUCCUGGCCAAACAUGCAUCAUCUUUGCUCUAAUAAUCGGCAGCGAGAUGCUUUUUGACUCCAGACACAGGCCAAAACAAUUUGACCAACAAGUGAAAUCACAGACAGACAAACAAGCUGGCGAUUACAGCUGCAUUAAGUUGCAGAUUUCCCCUCUUGGAGAUUUCCAGAUGAGACCACCUUACGUUUUUCUUACACCCUGUGAAAGGAAGGAACCUAAAGACCCAUGUCCCCCUCCUCCCCCCAGGUCUGCUGUGUGUCUCAGAGCAGGUGAGAAACAUUAACAUCAGCAGCAGCUGGAGCACCUCUGCUCUGCACAUGUGGAUCAGGAUAUGAGCUAGCUCACUGUCAGCACAGGUCAUUUAUGUUAACACUCUCCUCCCCAAUAAAACAAAACGGUACUGAGGGGGGAAAGGGUAGGUAGUUUCUCAGAUUGUCAAUCAUGUAAUUUGCCAAACUGAUGCUAAGAUUUCAGUUAGUGUACCAAACAUGCAAGCUAACUGUUGUCACUGCAAACCGUGUGUUUGACUCCACUUUUUCUGUUACAGACUCAGAGCACAGAAACACUGACAACCAAUCAAUAUACACUCUAAAAAAGUUUUA